AUGGAUGCUUCUGAAAAUAAAGAACCAGACCAGCACGUGGAGGCCCCUUAUAAUAGAACGGAAGAGGAGGAGCUUCAUCGAUCUGGUCGACAACGGAAACCCACGGAAAAGAUGCGUGUAUUUAAAGAAGGUGAGGCCCUGAAAAAGGAGAAAAGAUUGAUUCAGCUGUACGAACAAUGGAAGGUCCUGGCUCGCAACACAAGGGAAGAGCUAAAAACAGACAUUAGUGAGAGCCAACUGGUAGCGCUUAUUAAUACACUUGAGAAGGGAAGGGAUGAUGUCAUGCACGUCUACCUGGAAAUUAGAGAUCACAUCGCUCCAUCCAGUGACACUAGACGCAGAAUUGAUACUUGUGAAGCUGUGACAAAAGAUAUUUCGAAGAUAAUUUUUGACAGAAUGGCAUGCCUUGAGGACUUUGACAGAGAAAAUGUAAAACACAGUCUUCGUGAGAUACUCCAUCACGAUUAUGCUCGCUCUGUCUACGGAUCCACAGUCUCACACCCCACAUCAUCAAGGUCUACAGUUAUGUCCAUUGCAGCUAAGCGAGCGGAUGCAGCAGCUGAAUUAGCAGCCAAAGAAGCAGAAUACUCAAUGAUACAAGAGAUCGAAGCUCAGAAGUGUGAACUGGAAAAACUAAAGGUAGAGAAGGAUCUAAAAGCAGCUAGAGCCAGACUGCAGGCCUAUGAUCAAGAAAUGGCACAAGAAGACAGCAUUCAUUCUUCAGAUUCAAAUUUAGGGGAACCGCAGGAUGUGAGUGUAACGCCACAACAGCAUUUGAUUCCAUUUCCUAUUCAAUGUCCUACCAACAUCACAGCAACGCGUCCUACUGACUUCACAGCAAAAUCCUCACCUCCAAGAUCUGAUAUAUCUUAUCUCGCUCAAGCUGUCCAAGAUAGCAUAGCUCUGAACAGGCUGCCUGCAACAGAACCAUCUGUGUUCAACGGUGAUCCUAUCCAGUUCAUUGAGUGGAAGGCUGCAUUUGUGUCGCUCAUUGAUGGAAAGGCCAUUUCUUUUGCUGACAAGCUGCACUAUUUAAAAAGGUACGCUGGCGGUCCAGCUCGUAAGUCUCUUGAUGGUAUCUUCUACAGGAAUGAUAAUGAGGCUUAUAAUGAUGCGUGGAACAAGCUGAACCAACGGUAUGGACAGCCAUUUGCUAUACAAAAGGCAUUCAGGGAAAAACUAGCCAAAUGGCCUAAGAUUCAUCCUAGGGAUGCUGAAGGUUUCAGAGAAUUCUCUGACUUCUUGAAUGCUUGUCAUCAAGCUAUGCCUCAUGUCAAAGGGCUUGAAAUAUUAAAUGAUUGUGAUGAAAAUCAGAAACUUGUACACAAAUUACCAGAUUGGGCAGCAGCACGUUGGAACCGUCAGGUCACGCAGACACUGAUUGAGACUCAUGACUUUCCAAAGUUUAUAGAUUUUGUGACCUUCAUGUCGAUGGAAGCAGAGAUUUCUUGUAAUCCUGUAACCUCCUUCAGUGCUCUUCGUGCCUCUGACCCUACUUCAGAAAAACGGAACCUUAAGGACAGUAAAAGGAACAGGGCUAACGUCUUUCACAUUCAAACAGCCACAGAAAAUAAAGAAAAUGACGAAAACGAACAAAAGCCCACUAAAGGGAAUUUCAAAAUGUGUUUCUUCUGCAAGGACGACAAGCAUAAGAUUCACAACUGUCCUAAAUUUGUGGCAAAAUCAUUAGAAGAGAAACGGAAAUAUGUGAAGGAUAACAAACUCUGCUAUGGUUGCAUGAAACCAGGCCACAGCGCAAAAGACUGCCGUCACCGUCUGUCCUGUGACACCUGUAGAGGUAGACAUCCAACGUGUCUACAUGAUGAAAACUAUACAAAGAAAGUCAACUCUGCACCAGUUUCAAACCAAGGUGACACAGAGAUAACUACUUCUACAUCUCACAAAGUAGAGAAUAAUGAGCCAUCCACCAAUACUUCAAUGAUCGUGCCAGUGUGGGUGUCAACCGAGAGGAAUCCAGGCUCUGAAAAACUUGUUUAUGCUCUGCUUGACACCCAGAGUGAUACUGUGUUUGUCGACAGAGAGCUGAGCAUUAAGUUACAAGCUGACUCCUGUCCGGUGAGACUGAAGUUGACAACCAUGACUGCAAAGGAUCUUGUCAUGCCGAGUGAAAGGGUGUCAGGUCUUAAAGUAAGAGGGUACAGCUCCUCCGUUGUCCUCAACCUGCCCCCUGCCUACACUAAGGACUCCAUUCCAGUGAACCGUACUCAUAUCCCUACUUGUGACACAGCACGACAUUGGAAGCAUCUCUCUACAAUAGUGGAUAAAAUUCCAGCUCUGCAGGAUUGUGAGGUUGGUCUCCUGAUAGGCUACAACUGUCCAAAGGCUUUGGCACCAAAACAGGUGAUUUUAGGAGGAGACGAUGAACCUUAUGCAGUCCAUACAGACCUAGGAUGGAGCAUUGUUGGUCGCCUGUCUUCACACAAUGAAUCACAAAGCUUCAACACCAUCUGUCAUAGAGUCAGCAUAAAAGAGCUCCCUCCAGUGACCCCAGCAGAUGUUAUUAAAGUAUUGGAGUCUGACUUCAAAGACGCUGGUGAAGAUGAUAAAACUGUGUCACAGGAUGACAUCCUCUUUUUGACCAAACUGCAGCAAGGCAUAAGGAAGAAUGACCACGGGCAUUACGAGAUGCCUCUUCCCUUCAAAAGAAGACCUAAUUUCCUUAACAAUAAGCAGCUGGCCAUUGUAAGGCUCAAUCAUCUUAAAAGGAAAUUGCUGAAAGAUGAAAAGUACAAGGAACACAAUGUGAGGUUUAUGGAAGAGGUCAUUGAAAGAGGUGAUGCAGAAGAAGUGCAUGAUGAAGGAAAGGAUGGAGAGAAGUGGUACAUCCCUCAUCAUGGGGUGUACCACCCUAAGAAGCCAGACAAGCUCCGUGUUGUCUUCGACUGCUCCGCCAAGUACCAGGGAACCAGCCUCAAUGACCACUUGCUCCAAGGCCCAGAUUUAAUGAAUAAUCUGACUGGUGUUCUUGUAAGAUUCAGACAACAUCCCAUUGCCCUUAUGUGUGAUGUUGAAAAGAUGUUUCACCAAUUUCACGUGGAAGAAGCAGAUCGAAACUACCUCCGUUUUCUCUGGUGGAAAAAUGGAGACUUAGCUUUACACCCACAUGAAUACCGCAUGAAGGUCCAUCUUUUUGGUGCAACCUCAUCACCUGGAUGCGCCAACUAUGGUCUGAAACAUCUUGCUAAGGAGAAUGAGGGUAUGUAUCCUCUUGGCUCUAAAUUCAUCACAAAAGACUUUUAUGUAGAUGACGGUGUCACCAGUGUAGUCAGCACAGAAGAAGCUAUCCAGGUAGCAAGAGAAGCUCGACAACUGUGUGCCUCAGGCGGUCUUAGACUGCACAAAUUUAUUUCAAAUGACAAAGUUGUCCUGGAUAGCAUUCCAAUUUCUGAACGAGCUGUUGAAGUAAAGGCGCUUGACCUCAGCUUCGAAGACACACCUUUAGAGAGAGCUUUAGGGAUCCACUGGCACAUUGAUUCUGACAACUUCAGAUUCUCUGUUGACCUCAAAGACCAGCCAGCAACACGCCGUGGCAUACUAUCCACAGUUGCAUUUCUGUAUGAUCCACUGGGCUUUAUUGCUCCUUUCCUGCUCAGUGGAAAACUAGUGCUUCAGGAAAUGUGCAGAAACGGAACAGGCUGGGAUGACCCCCUUCCUAAAGAAUUGCAGCCUAGCUGGGAGCAUUGGAAAGCAGAUCUUGUGAACUUGGAAAAGAUCAGUAUACCCCGCUGCUAUGUGCCUGCAAACUUUGGAAAGGUCAUCAAAAGGGAACUUCAUCACUUCUCUGAUGCGAGCAACAGCGGAUAUGGCCAGUGUACCUAUUUGAGACUCACAAGCAAAGAAGGAAAUAUCCAUUGUGCCCUGGUCAUCGGUAAAUCCAGAGUUGCUCCCAUUAAGGUCCAGACCAUCCCCAGGCUCGAAUUGACAGCUGCUGUCAUCUCAGUUGCCAUGAGCAAUAUGCUUAAACGGGAGCUACAAUAUGCAGACAUAGAAGAGCACUUCUGGACCGACUCCCAAGUGGUUUUGGGAUACAUAAACAACGAAGCACGCCGUUUUCACACAUUUGUGGCGAACAGAGUGCAAAAGAUACAUCUCAGCACUACUCCUCAACAGUGGAGAUAUGUUCCCACUAAUGAAAACCCUGCUGACCAUGCGUCGAGAGGUUUAAACGCUGGUGAGAUUCUUACAUCUAAUUGGUUGACAGGGCCAGGAUUCUUAUGGAAGAAGGAUAUACCUCCUGUUGCAGAUAUUGACACAGCACUAACGAUUGGAGAUCCUGAAGUGAGACAGGCUCAGACACUGAGUGCACAAGCAACAGAAGUCAGCCUCUCAGACCGCUUGUCAAAGCUGUCUUCGUGGUCUGGAGCUGUCCAAGCUGUGGCUCGCCUCAUUCGACGAGCCAAAGGGGACAAAUCCAGCAGCCACAGUACGGUAGCUGAACGAGAAGAUGCUAAACGCAUCAUCAUUAAAGAUUUACAAAGAAACACCCAUCCAGAGGAUAUCAAGUUAUUGAGCAAGGGGACCCAGCUGUCACCUGGCAGCAAGCUGUAUCAUCUUGAUGCCUUCCUGGAUCAAGAAGGAGUACUCAAGGUAGGAGGAAGACUUUGUGAUGCAUCUUUACCCAACUCAAUCAAACACCCAGUGAUCAUUCCUAAAGAUCACCACAUAACGAAGAUGAUCAUCUCUCAAUGUCAUGAGAAUGUCAAGCACCAAGGAAAGGGUCUCACAAUUAAUGAGAUCAGAUCACAAGGCUACUGGAUUCCAGGAAUUAGCAGAGCAGUAGCAUCCCAUGUGCAUCACUGUGUGACAUGUCGGAAGCUCAGGAGACCCACAGAAGAACAAAGAAUGGCCGACCUCCCUUCAGAGCGUACGAAUCCAUCCCCACCGUUUACGUACUGUGGCAUGGACUGCUUUGGUCCCUUUAUCACUAAACACGGUCGGAAGGAUCAUAAAAGGUACGGCCUCCUCUUCACGUGUUUCAGCUCCAGAGCUAUUCAUAUAGAAAUGCUAGAUGACAUGUCUACAGAUGCUUUCAUCAAUGGCUUACGCUGUUUCAUUGCAUUGCGGGGAGCAGUGCGCCAAAUCAAGUGUGACCAAGGCACCAACUUUGUAGGAGCCAAGAAUGAGCUGAAAAAUGCUCUCAAGGAGAUUGAUGCUGAUCGUCUGACAGUGUUCUUAGCUGAAAAACAGUGCGAUUUUGUCCUAAAUGCGCCCCAUUCAAGUCAUGCUGGUGGGGUAUGGGAGAGACAAAUCAGAACAGUGAGGAAUGUUCUUCGCUCAACUCUCUCACUCUAUUCUGGCAGACUGGACGAUGCAUCACUGCGGACAUUCUUUUAUGAAGCUAUGGCGAUCGUAAACAGUAGACCACUCUCAGUUGAUAACUUAAACGACCCCAACAGUCUUGCACCUCUCACCCCUAAUAACCUGCUUACUAUGAAGUCUAUUCCAGCAUUACCACCACCAGGCAGAUUCAUCAGAGAAGACAUCUAUGCAAGGAAAAGGUGGCGUCAUGUUCAGUACCUUGCAGAGCAGUUUUGGAGUCGUUGGCGUAAGGAGUAUCUAUCCAACAUUGCCAUCAGACAGCGCUGGCACACAGUAAAGAGAAACCUGCAAGUAGGAGACAUUGUCAUGGAAAAGAUUGAUGAUCUGCCCAGAAAUGAGUGGCGGUUGGCCAGAGUUACAGAGACUACUACAGAUAAAGACGGGCUUGUGAGAAGAGUAAAAGUAUGCCUUGGUGACCGAAAUCUGGAAACGGAUGUUCGUCGCCUCAACAAGCUGUCUGUCAUUGAACGCCCAGUCCAGAAGCUGAUCCUGUUGCUAGAGACCGUCUAG
rnacentral:lncRNA from 1 species